rnacentral:rRNA from 1 species
UGGGGAAUAUUGCACAAUGGGCGAAAGCCUGAUGCAGCGACGCCGCGUGAGGGAUGACGGCCUUCGGGUUGUAAACCUCUUUCAGCAGGGAAGAAGCGAAAGUGACGGUACCUGCAGAAGAAGCGCCGGCUAACUACGUGCCAGCAGCCGCGGUAAUACGUAGGGCGCAAGCGUUGUCCGGAAUUAUUGGGCGUAAAGAGCUCGUAGGCGGUUAGUCGCGUCUGCUGUGAAAACUCGAGGCUCAACCUCGGGCUUGCAGUGGGUACGGGCUGACUAGAGUGCGGUAGGGGUGACUGGAAUUCCUGGUGUAGCGGUGGAAUGCGCAGAUAUCAGGAGGACACCGAUGGCGAAGGCAGGUCACUGGGCCGCAACUGACGCUGAGGAGCGAAAGCAUGGGGAGCGAACAGGAUUAGAUAG